CCUCCGCUAUGUGGGCGGUGACCCGCCCGUGACGUAAGCUCCAGACGCCUGAGAAGUGGAAGGACCCGGCGUCCAGGACAGGAAAGUGCGUGAUUUACAGCUAGAGGGAUAGGCGCUGUCCCGGAGCCCGUCCUGGGCCAGGGAGCAGGAGAGGGAGGGACUACAGUUCCCGACGCGCUGCGGGGCGGGCGGAGAUCGUGCGCUUCGGCGCCAGUUGCACGGCCUUAGCAGCCAGUGGCGGCUCCCCUGCUCCUGUAACAGUCCCCUUGUCUUCUGACCUUUCGCUCCUCGGUCAUGUGUCCUCGCCGGUCGCCGCGGCAGCCAGUGAUGCCCGAGCGGCGGGUUCCCAGGCCCAGGUGUGGGCGCCACCGCCCACCAUGCGCCAAGCCCAGAGCCUGGUUGAAUCGUUCGCCACCUUGUCUACCCAUUUUGGCCAUUAUCCUGCCACCUCCAAAUCCUGUUUUUGACACUUCUCGGGAGAGAGAGAAAACGGAAAGAUAAAGGAAUAAACUCCUCGUGGUCGUAGUUAGUGGGUAAAUUCAGAUCUCGUUUGAACCGAGGUUUUUCUUAUCUCCAGCCACCGUAUCCACCACCACCAGAAUCGUCUUUUUAGUCAUCACAGCUGGUCGCCGUCAGUACCUUGUUCAGAAGCCUCUCGCAGCUUCCAUCGUGUGGUUAUACAAUCCAAAUUCCUUAUAAAGUCCAAAUUCAAGAGGAGGAAUGCACGUUUAGUUAAGUUAAUGUCUAGACCUUACCAGCCAAUUUCUAGCUCCUCAGUAUGGAAAUUGCAACUGAAAACACCCCUUCCAAAAAAAGCAGUCUGCAUUUUUCUCUGAGUUUUCUUCUCCAAAUUUCGCACCCCUGACCUUGCUUACACACUCUGGAUACCACCUGCUGUGGAGUGGCGGAAGCAGACAUCCAGCGAUAGCUAAGUUUCCUGUCGUUGACACCCAAGCAAGACAGGCGUGUACCUAACUGAGGACCUGCCGGUGAUAGAAGUCUCAGCUUUUCUCAGAGACAGAUGAGUCUUCCCUUUAAAUGCUGCAAAGUGCUGCAUAGUAGAUGUUAAAUGAAAGUCAGAAAGAAUCAAAUGUGCUGCAAAUAAUUGAAGGUAAUUCAACCCAAUGGAAAUAGAUUAAAAGAGUGAAAGUCACUGGUCUCAAAGAAUCUACGGAAUUCAGCAUUUUGGAAAUCACAUAGCAAUUUUGGGUAGGUAUUCACAUGCACUAAAAAACCAGGCAAACAUCCGACUCCCAGGAUAAAGUGACUGAGAGCAGUAGAAGACUUGUUGAGCCGUAAGGAAUAAGAGGAAAAUUAUGUUAUGAAGUGCAGGAACAGCACAGACCCAGACGAGGGGAUGCAGCCCAGAGCCAGUAACCCGGUGCCUCCUCCUCCCCAGGAAGCAGCGCUGGCUGAUCCCCAGAUACCAUGAUCACACCGUCCCAGGUCCUGAGAGCGCCUCAUAGGUAGACAGUUCUUUGGGACUUUUGGGACGCAGCACUUGAAGAGAGGUCUACCUAAACUUUCCUCCUGGGAGCCUGUGAUCAUUUGAAAGUAACAGAAGAAAGUUGUCAGGCUGAGGA
rnacentral:lncRNA from 1 species